rfam:Hydrogenobacter thermophilus TK-6 DNA, complete genome.
CGGGGUGUGGCGCAGGUGGAAGCGCGCUGGCAUGGGGGGCCAGAGGUCACGGGUUCAAGUCCCGUCACCCCGA